CUAAUUCUUUUAAUUGUGAUGUUAGGGUGUCAAUUUUAGCCCUCCCAAGAUCUGAAAUCUGAGAGGCUCCAACGAACAUUUUAUUUGAGGGUCAAAAAUGUUCAUAUUUUGGAGCAUUUUGGAUUUCAGAUUUUUGGAUUUUGGAUGCUCAGCCUGUACCAUUUAUCGUGGUUAGGAUUUGGGACAGUGGGUGCAGCGCACCGAGAGUGAGCUGAAGCAGGGUGAGGCAUUGCCUCACCCAGGAAGCGCAAGUAAAUGUCCCUGUCUGACAGCCUUGAAGAGAGUAGUGGUUCUACCAGCACGCAGCUGGACAUCUGAGAACAGACAGACUGCCGCAAAUCAAUCAACAUAAUCCAGCAUAUAAACAGAACCAAAGACAAAAACCAUAUGAUUAUCUCAAAUAAUAAGAGCUAUCUAUGACACCCACAGCCAAUAUCAUACUGAAUGGGCAAAAACUGGAAGCAUUCCCUUUGAAAACUGGCACAAGACAGGGAUGCCCUCGCUAACCACUCCUAUUCAACAUAGUGUUGGAAGUUCUAGCCAGGGUAAUCAGGCAGGAGAAGGAAAUAAAGGGUAUUCA
rnacentral:lncRNA from 1 species